UACGUAGGGGGCUAGCGUUGUCCGGAUUUAUUGGGCGUAAAGAGCGUGUAGGCGGCCAGGUAGGUCUGCUGUGAAAACUCGAGGCUCAACCUCGAGACGUCGGCGGAAACCAUCUGGCUAGAGUCCGGAAGAGGAGAGUGGAAUUCAUGGUGUAGCAGUGAAAUGCGUAGAGAUCAUGAGGAAGACCAGUGGCGAAGGCGGGUCUCUGGACAGUUCCUGACACUGAGACACGAAGGCCAGGGGAGCAAACGGG
rnacentral:rRNA from 1 species